UUCUUUUUUUUUUUUCUUUUUUUUUUUUUUUUUUUUUUUCUGCU
rnacentral:ribozyme from 1 species